rnacentral:tRNA from 1 species
GCCGGCGUGGUGGAAUGGCAGACACGGUAGACUCAAAAUCUACUGGGCGCAAGCUCGUGACGGUUCAAGUCCGUCCGCCGGCA